UAGACCAGCAUCAUAAAAGCUACUGGAGGGUGGCUUGUCCCCAGGGAUCAGGCCAUACCAGAAACAGAUGACUUGAUCACAGCAAUGUCAUAUGAGUGAAAGCUCUGGCUAGGGGCGACAAGAGAAAGAGAGCCAUAGAUGCUGGGACACAAAGAAAAUUAUGGUAAUCACCCCUUCCCUAAAUUCUGAUCGCGCCCCAGGUUCAACUCAUCAGGUCAUGGACGAGCCUUUUGCCACCUUUGCAUGCUGUGGAGCUCAUCCUAAGAAAAGGGAAGUUUCUGCCUAUUAACAGCCAUUACACGGAUCCACAUAAAGCGUUUUAAGAGCUACCCAGGGAUUAACGCCCUUACAAACUGGUUCCAAAGACCGGGUUGGAAGAAGUGGAACGUAUUUUGACUGAACCACGUGCUGGGCACUGACACCUCUGUGAAGUGGCUGGUGCUAUUCGAGCUUCACAAUGGGAAAAACCGAGACUCGGAGACAGUGAAGGCAAACAGAACACAGGAAGCGGCAGCCAGGAGUCCGACGCACACGUCCUUCCGGAGCGCAGGCUCCCUGUCCUUCCCCGCCAGUAUCUAGCUGAGAACCCUUCUUUGGAGCUCCUAGCAACUUGCACUUAAAUAUCAAUAAAGAUGCAGAAAAAGCUGAAAACUCACAACAAUGAACACUGAGACUACUGGAAGAAUCUGAAGAGUAAAUACAGGUUGGAGAUGUAUGGAGAGAAACCUACCCCAGGCUCCUGCCACAGCAUAUCCCAAACCUCCCUUCAUAAAGGGGCUGCAUGGAAAAAGGGCAUUUAAACAGUUCGUAAGUCCCAUCACGGUUCUGGAUAAAGCUACGAGUGAUUUCCAAGGGCAUCUGGACACCGAGACAAGACCAAGAAAGCUGGCCAGUACAGGGAUGGGACCCUGGACCUUGGUGUUACCAGUGUCAUGCUUUAACCAACUGAGCUAACUGUCCAACCCCAGAUCUUUUAUAAGUUCUCCUUUCUUGUUAAGUACACUCAAAUUAAUUAAAACUUCCCCUGUAUUUUCAAGUAAA